GCCGCAGUGGUGGAAUGGCAGACACGCUGGUCUUAGAAGCCAGUGCCUUUGGCGUGGGGGUUCAAGUCCCUCCUGCGGCACCA
rnacentral:tRNA from 1 species